rnacentral:rRNA from 1 species
CCCUACGGGGGGCAGCAGUGGGGAAUAUUGCACAAUGGGGGAAACCCUGAUGCAGCAACGCCGCGUGAAGGAAGACGGUUUUCGGAUUGUAAACUUCUGUUCUUAGUGAAGAUAAUGACGGUAGCUAAGGAGCAAGCCACGGCUAACUACGUGCCAGCAGCCGCGGUAAUACGUAGGUGGCAAGCGUUGUCCGGAAUUACUGGGUGUAAAGGGAGCGUAGGCGGGAAGCCAAGUCAGCUGUGAAAACUACGGGCUUAACCUGUAGACUGCGGUUGAAACUGGUUUUCUUGAGUGAAGUAGAGGUU